rnacentral:rRNA from 1 species
UAGUGGCGAACGGGUGAGUAACACGUGGGCAAUCUGCCCUUCACUCUGGGACAAGCCCUGGAAACGGGGUCUAAUACCGGAUAUCACUCCUGCAGGCAUCUGCGGGAGUCGAAAGCUCCGGCGGUGAAGGAUGAGCCCGCGGCCUAUCAGCUUGUUGGUGAGGUAAUGGCUCACCAAGGCGACGACGGGUAGCCGGCCUGAGAGGGCGACCGGCCACACUGGGACUGAGACACGGCCCAGACUCCUACGGGAGGCAGCAGUGGGGAAUAUUGCACAAUGGGCGAAAGCCUGAUGCAGCGACGCCGCGUGAGGGAUGACGGCCUUCGGGUUGUAAACCUCUUUCAGCAGGGAAGAAGCGAAAGUGACGGUACCUGCAGAAGAAGCGCCGGCUAACUACGUGCCAGCAGCCGCGGUAAUACGUAGGGCGCAAGCGUUGUCCGGAAUUAUUGGGCGUAAAGAGCUCGUAGGCGGCUUGUCACGUCGGGUGUGAAAGCCCGGGGCUUAACCCCGGGUCUGCAUUCGAUACGGGCUAGCUAGAGUGUGGUAGGGGAGAUCGGAAUUCCU